CUUUAACAGACAAGGAGAUGGAACAAAAGGAUUCUCUUGAGAACAGACCAACCCUGGAGACCACGUGAGAUAUGGCUGGCUUCCUGCCUGCUCUAGAACUAGGGGCUGCUGCGUCCUAAGGCAACCCUCUGGAUAUUCACCAGGAGUGUUCCAGCCAGACUGUCACCCAGAAGCAGCAGGAGGGCUCCCCAACCUGCUGUCUGUCCCAAUGGUGUCCUGCAAAGGGAACCAACAAAAUCUGCUGAGUCAUUGCUGAAGGUUGCCACGGGGACAGAUGGACGGGUGCUGAUGAGAUUGACAGUGAUGGCUGGGUUCAAGUCCCAGCCUAGCCAUGACCUUGAUGACUGACCUUGACCUGGGCCUCACCUCUCCAGGCCUCAGUUUACCUUUCUGUCCCAUGAAGAUUGAUAUAAGCCGGCUCUUCAUUCUUCCACCACUCUGGAAAUCUCAACUUCCCAAAUGGGAAUAUUAAAGGUGGGCGGGGCAGAGGAGGUGCAGGAAGGAUGUGGAACAAGAUGGAGCAUUCCAGGAUGAACGGAGAUUUCCCAAAUGCAGCACGGGUGUUCUGCUGUGUGAGGAGCAAGGAAUGCUUUUGUUUUGUUUUAAUUGGAAUGGUUUUGCAGAAUUGUUUAGAUUCUAUUUUGAUUUGGGGCAUAAGUGGGCUCUGCCCCGCUUAUGGGAUCCUCUGCAAAACAAAGAAGAAACUGUCUCCAGAGA